rnacentral:pre_miRNA from 1 species
CUAACUCCUCAAUUUGUGUGUAGUUGGAAUGUUUGCCUACGUUUGCCGCUAGGGGCACUGUUCCAACUGUAUACAAAUUUGAGUUA